GCCAAAAUCCCAGCCCUACCACCCCGAAUGAAAUACCCAAACACCACAAAACUAACAAAACAUUUUACAACUAAGUAAAGGCGAUUAAAAAGUAUGUAGGAGCCUUAGCACUAGUACCGCAAGGGAACGGUGAAAUAAAAAUGAAAUAGCCCUAAAGCAACACAAAGUAAAGAUUCACACUUGUACCUUUUGCAUCAUGGUCUGACCAGUACAACCAAGCAAAGCGAACUUUAAGUUUGACCCCCCGAAACUAGACGAGCUACUUCAAAACAGCCCCUCGGGCCAACCCAUCCCUGUUGCAAAAGGGUGGGAAGAUUUUCAAGUAGGAGUGACAAACCAAUCGAGCCUAGAGAUAGCUGGUUACUCGGGAAAAGGAUAUUAGUCCAACUUUAAAUCUCCACAUAACAACAAAUAGCCCCAAAGAUUUAAGUUUUACUCAAAUAAGGUACAGCCUAUUUGAAACAGGAUACAGCCUACAACACAGGGUAAUGUCCAAACUACGUGACUAAGUAGGCCUAAAAGCAGCCAUCUUUUAAAGGGCGUUACAGCCUCCUCACAUUUCUCCAUUAAUCCCAACUAAAACUCAAACCCCUUCACUCAUACCGAGUAACUCCAUAUCCAUAUGGAAAAUCUUAUGUUAGAACUAGUAACAAGAACAGCCAUUCUCCUACAAACGUAAAUGUAAGCCGGACUGAACAUUUCACCGGCACUUAUCGUCAAGAGCCCAUAGUAUCAACCUGCACAAGAAAACCAUACUUGUCCAAACGUUAACCUUACACCAGAACUUUUCCGGAAAGAUCAAAAAAGGCGGAAGGAAUUCGGCAAAUAUCAGCCCCGCCUGUUUACCAAAAACAUCGCCUUCUGCCAACACAUAGAAGGUCCAGCCUGCCCAGUGAUAAACUUAAACGGCCGCGGUACCCUAACCGCGCAAAGGUAGCACAAUCACUUGUUCUUUAAAUGAGGACUAGUAUGAAUGGCAUUACGAGGGCUCUACUGUCUCCCCCCUUUAAUCAGUGAAACUAAUCUCCCCGUGAAGAAGCGGGGAUAAGCCUAUAAGACGAGAAGACCCCAUGGAGCUUUAAACUAAGUAUCACCUGCCCCACCCUAUACCCCAAUAAACCCAACAGACCUGUUUUACUAGUUUUUGGUUGGGGUGACCGCGGAGUAAAGCAAAACCUCCACAACGAAAGGACCUUCCCCCUAAUCAAAGGGCCACCACCCACAGAAUCAACACAUUGACCUAAAUUGACCCAAUACCCUGAGCAACGAACCAAGUUACCCUGGGGAUAACAGCGCAAUCCACUUUAAGAGUCCAUAUCAACAAGUGGGUUUACGACCUCGAUGUUGGAUCAGGGCAUCCAAGUGGUGCAGCCGCUACUAAAGGUUCGUUUGUUCAACGAUUAAAGCCCUACGUGAUCUGAGUUCAGACCGGAGUAAUCCAGGUCGGUUUCUAUCUAUAAAGUGUUUCCCCCAGUACGAAAGGACCAGGACAACAUGGCCAAUGUACAAACAAGCCACCACUACUUACCUAAUGACUUAAACUCAACUAGCACCUACCUUACAACCACCCUCAAAAUAAG
rnacentral:rRNA from 1 species